GAUGAAGAACGCAGCGAAAUGCGAUAAGUAAUGUGAAUUGCAGAAUUCAGUGAAUCAUCGAAUCUUUGAACGCACAUUGCGCCCGCCAGUAUUCUGGCGGGCAUGCCUGUUCGAGCGUCAUUACAACCCUCAGGCCCCCGGGCCUGGCGUUGGGGAUCGGCGGAGCCCCCCGUGGGCACACGCCGUCCCCCAAAUACAGUGGCGGUCCCGCCGCAGCUUCCAUCGCGUAGUAGCUAACACCUCGCGACUGGAGAGCGGCGCGGCCACGCCGUAAAACACCCAACUCUUCUGAAGUUGACCUCGAAUCAGGUAGGAAUACCAGCUGAACUUAAGCAUAUCAAUAACGGAGGA
rnacentral:misc_RNA from 1 species